AGUCAACGAGACUACCCACUCAUUUCCCGCCACGUCUCCUCUACUGCCUACUGCCCCGUGAAAGGGAAAAAAACCGCGAACCCUCGCCGGAGUAUCUUUUAGGGGACCGUCGAGAAAUCGUCCGGCGAAAUCGGGUAGCCAGUUCUUCUCUGGUUUUCGAGAAACACUGUGAUGUCAUCUGCUUACUGUAUGUUGGGAAACAAGGCUGUCUCCUGGAUUGUCUUGCUUGCACCAAGUGUACCAUGGAGCUCCUGUUGUCUGUAUGAAGUUCCAGUUGUUUAAGGUGAUUGAUUGAAAUCAUUCUUCAUCAGCCAUUUUAUGAGAUUUAUGAAGAGAACCAAACUUAUUUGGAGUUGUAUUGAGAUAGAUUUCAACUGGCAUUUAAUAAACAGUGAGUAAUGGUUUCAUCUUAGUAUUAUCGCCUACCAACAGCUUCUUCUUCAAUGGGUCUCACUGAUAUUCUUCCUUCUGAGCAAGAGGAACUUGAUUUUUCUGAUGUUUUUGGUCCUGAUCCUCAAUCCUUGGCUCAAGAAAAUGUGGUGGCAUCUGAGGAUUCCUUAGCAACAUCUGGUUCAUGUGAGAAAGUAUACAAUGACCCGGAGGUUGUUUACAGCCGAUCACAUUCUCUGGUAGGACCUACAGCUUGUGUUAUGUUAACCAGGCAGCUCAGCAAGCUUAUGCUGCAUGAAUCUGAGGACUCAUUGGAGCUCAUAGAAUGUGCCAAUGAUGAGGGAGAAGUUGAACAAGAGGACUCAUCCAUCUGCACUACUCAAGAAGAUGUUAGUGAGGGUGUGGUGGGGCUUGAUCAUUUUGAAGUCUUGAAGGUAGUUGGACAAGGUGCAUUUGGAAAGGUAUUUCAGGUGCGGAAAAAGGGCUCUUCAGAUAUCUACGCCAUGAAGGUAAUGAGAAAGGAUAAGAUUAUGGAAAAAAAUCAUUCUGACUACAUGAAAGCUGAGAGGGAUAUAUUAACAAAAGUUGAUCAUCCUUUCAUCGUGCCACUAAGAUACUCGUUUCAGACAAAAUAUCGCUUGUACCUUGUGCUGGAUUUUGUUAAUGGGGGUCACCUUUUUUUUCAGCUUUAUCGUCAUGGUUUAUUCAGGGAGGAACUGGCAAGAGUCUAUGCUGCUGAAAUAGUAUCUGCUGUUUCCCACCUUCAUGCAAAUGGCAUAAUGCACAGGGACCUUAAACCAGAAAACAUCCUGCUGGAUGCUGAUGGCCAUGCCAUGCUCACUGACUUCGGUCUGGCAAAGGAAUUUGAAGAGAACACCAGAUCUAAUUCCAUGUGUGGGACAGUUGAAUACAUGGCACCUGAAAUUGUUCUAGGGAAAGGCCACGACAAGGCUGCUGAUUGGUGGAGUGUUGGUGUUCUUCUCUUCGAAAUGCUUACUGGAAAGCCCCCUUUUACUGGUGGCAACCGAGAUAAGAUUCAGCAAAAAAUAGUGAAGGACAAAAUAAAACUCCCACCCUUCUUAUCAAGUGAAGCACAUUCACUGCUGAAAGGGUUAUUGCAGAAAGAAUCAAGCAAGCGUCUUGGCAGUGGACCUGGUGGCAGUGAUGAGAUAAAGAACCACAAAUGGUUCAAAUCUAUCAAUUGGAGGAAAUUGAAUGCCCGGGAAAUCCAGCCGAGCUUCCGCCCCAAUGUCACCGGCAAGAACUGCAUUGUCAACAUCGAUGAGUGCUGGACGAACAUGACACUAGUGGAUUCUCCAGUCUCCACACCAGUUGCAGGAGACAGUAAUUUCACAGGGUUUACUUAUGUGAGGCCGUCACCAUUUCUUCAGAAACCACCGAAUUCUCUUUGAUGAAAGAUGAAAAAGAAGAAAGCUUUUUAUGGGUAUUUCAAACAUGGAUGAAAUGUAUGCUAGGAAAACAUCCAUAAACCAUUAUUACAGAUCUAGGCUUGACAAUGGGGAAAGCUAUUGCAAAAGUUCUUCCAAAUUAUGGUCAUCGAUUGUGCUCAUGGCACAUGGGAGAAAUUCGAUGAAGUAUUUAGUAGAUUUGAAGAGCAAAGAAGGCUUCCUAGGGGACUAUAACAACUGGUUACACCGUAGUACAUCAAUGGAGGCAUUUGAGAGUAAAUGGGGUGAACUUAAAGCAACACACAACAUUGAUGAUAGACAUUGGUUGAGUAAAAUGUAUGAAAUUCGACACAAAUGGGUUUUUUCUAUAUUGGCAAAAUUUAUUCACAGCUAGAAUGACCUCUACACAACGCAAUGAAAGUAUUAACUCAUUUUUUGAUGGAUUUUGUUAAUUCAUAAAUUCCAUUGGAUGAGUUUGUUAUGGAGUAUGAUAAGGCAUUGUGUGCUCGACGAAAUGAUGAAGAAAAUGAAAACUUCAAGACUUUAAACUCUAUGCCUAACUUUCAUACAAGUCAUCCAAUUGAGAGACAUGCAGGAGAAGUGUAUACAAGAACUGUGUUCUAUAUUUUCCAAGCAGAAUUGUGAGAAAGUGAUAGUAUGCUAGUUGAAGGCAUUCAUGAUGGGACUGAUCAUGCCAAAUAUAAAAUCUGCAAUCACAUUGUUAUGUUUAGGAAAGAUGGCAUUGAAGAUUGGGAGCCUAUAGCUACAUGUUCUUGUAAGAAGUUUGAGACUAAGGGUGUGUUGUGUUGUCAUAUAUUGAAAAUAUUUAAAAAAAAGGAGGUUGCAAAGAUUCCCAAAAAGUAUAUUCUUCGUCGUUGGAGUAUGGUUGCAAGAUAUUGGUCGAAUGUUAUGAUGGUUGAUACAAGUAACAAUGCUUUUACACUGUUGAUGAAGUGGAGUGCACAAAAUGUGUUUUCGUAUUGCACAGUCUAUAUCAUCUUUAGAGAUGUAUGAAAAAAUUAUGCCUAAGCUAAAUGACAUCUUCAAAAUGGUUGGUGAAUUUUCUAGUGCAUGAGAACAUGUCUUACACACGGAGCAAAGUGUGGCAAAUGAGGAGAUUAUUGGUUCAUCUUCUUUCCUUGCAACCUCAGGUGGAGAUGAUACUUGUGGGUCACACAUUGGUAUUCUUGAUCCAAAAUGUGUUAAAAGCAAAGGUCUUCCAAAAGUGAAUACAAGGAUUAAAUCUGGGAUCGAUAUUCAAUUGUCAUUAUAGAAGAAAAGGACUUGCAGUAGAUGUGGGAGAAAGGGUCAUUACAUGUCUACAUGCACAUUUAGUCAGGCUUGAGCCAUAUUUUGGAAUGCUUUUGGAUGUCUGGCUUAUAUCUGUCUCUUUGCUUGUGGACAUUACGUUCAUAUUUAUUUUCAUGUUUUUGGUGAAUUUGUGCUGAAUUUGUUUAUGUUCAGCUGUAAUUUGUUGCAUGUACAUUUGAUUUUGUGUUGUAUUUGGUGUCACUUUAAUUUGCUAGCUUUAAUUUGUAAUUUGUUUACCUGAAGAAAAUAUUAAGCUCUAGUUUGUUGCAGAUUUUUGUUAAGCUGCAGAAUUUCUUUGAAUGUCUAUCUUUAGAUUAUUGUUAGGCCAGGGAUAUUUAUUAAGCUGCAGAAAUUUCUUAAGCUGUCUUUAAUUUUUUGAUUAAGCUUUAAUUUGUUAGGCUGCAGAAAUUUUGUUAAGUUAUUACUAGGCUGCAGAAAUUUUGUUGCAGAUUUUUGUUAAGCUAUAGAAUUUCUUUGAAUGUCUGUCUUUAGAUUAUUGUUAGGCUGCAGAAAUUUUGGAAUGUCAUCUUUAAGUUGUUGCUAGGUUGCAGAAAUUUUGUUAAGCUACAAAAAUGGUGAUCCAUUAUUGAAUGAAAAGAUCAUAGUACAUGGUGAUCCAUUACUACAGACACAACAGUGCACUUACAACAUUUGCUAAUUUCCAUAUUGUUCAGUGCGAGAGAAAAGAAAAGAAAAGCUUCAAACACUUUGUCAAAGAUAGUGUAUUACACAGAACCACUACCAUAUAGAUUGCUGAUUUUCAUACAGUUGGACACCUAAAAUAAAAGGACAAAAACUAUGUUUACAGGAAAAUUGCUUCCCAAGGCUCGCUUAUAAGUUGCGAGAGCAAAUGGUUGGGGAACAGUAUAGUUCGAUCGUGAAGUUCCAGAGGCAGUUUUGGUUUUUGAUUUAAUGCUAGAGUCUUGCUUUCGAUUAAGUGGCGACUGAGCUUCACAAGUUACUGAUACCAUCUCUGGGGUAUCAGCCUGGACACUUGAGUUGUUCACAGCAGCAAUUCCAUUUCCAUUGUUACAAAUUAUAUCUUGAUGAAUUAAAGCAGCUUUGUCAGGAGAUUCCUUCA